rnacentral:sRNA from 1 species
CUGACGUGGGGAUUACGUGGGGCCGCUGCCGGCUCCGGGUUGCUGGGCGGCGGCGCCGCUGCUGAGCGGCGGUCGGGCUCGCCGUCUCCACCUCCUCGCGUCCGUAAUCAGUGACGAGGUCCGCUACGUAAAUCCCUUUGCGGCGGGUAGCAACAAUUGCAGAGACAGAUGAAUCUGCAGAAUCAGAAGGUGUAAUUGAUUCUCAUAAACGUAGAGAAAUCCUUUCACGAAGACCCUCUUAUAGGAAAAUACUGAAUGAACUGUCCUCUGAUGUGCCUGGUGUUCCCAAGAUUGAAGAAGAAAGAUCAGAGGAAGAAGGAACACCACCUAGCAUUGCUACCAUGGCAGUACCAACUAGCAUAUAUCAGACUAGCACGGGGCAAUACAGUAUGUAUGCUGCAAUUCGAUAUGAUAC